GGGCGGCGGGGGCGCGAGCCCUUCGGGGUUGGAACCGGGCGGCCCGACCCGCCCACCUGCCCGCAGGCCGGGACUCGCCGGGACGCACCUCCGGUGCCAAACCGGCCGAGAACCUGCCCCUGGGCCACGACGCAGGACCGGGUCAACUCCACGCAUCCCUGCGAUCUGAGUUUAAUUUCCUUGGCCCGGUCAACGUGCGUGAAAGCACACGUGAAGCCCCGAGACCGGCGGGCACUUCUGUCGUUCCUCCCGGGGCGCUAUUAGCUGUGGCAGUGAGUCCGACCUCUGCGGUGCGUUCCCAGUGUUACCUGUGGGAAGUCAGCCUCAGCUCCUGUGUCAGCAACUGUACUAAUAAGAGCAAAAGACAGCAGAGGACUGAAAGCCUUGGCUCUGGAGCCAGAACACCUGGGGUGAAAUCUGGACCCUUAGUGGAGAAAGACUGGCUAUUUUAUUAUGAAUGGCACCACCACCCAGGAGAACAUGAAGCUAAUGCUCAAAAGCGCAAACUCCCUGAUCCAGGAUUCUGGGCGGGUUGUUAAGGGUAUGGGGUAACAAGUGUGCAGAAGCAAUGGCGAGAAAAGUAUUAAUUCAGGGACCUUGGAACUUGGCCAUUUAUGGUAAGGGGUGUCAACAGAGGAUCUUCCUAGACAACGGACCCUCCACUUCUGAAAAGGUUCCAGUGUUCAAGUUCUGUUUACGUCUCGGUUCGUUGGUUCUGUUGGGGGGCGGGGGGAACAGGGAGACAGUUCCAGUUGCAGCCGAAGGGCAGUUUUGAAAAUAACAAAAUGACAGUAAGUUCUUAUCAGUAAUUACUUUAAAGUGGAUUAAACUGUUCAAUCAAAAGGCAGAGAUUGGCAGAAUGAAUUUUUUAAAUGAUCCAAAUACAUACAGUCUACAAGAGACACACUUUAGAUCUGAAGACAAAAAAAAACUGAAAACAAAAGAAUGGGAAAAAAAUAUUCCAUGCAAAGAGUAACCAGAAGAAAGCUGGAUAGGCUAUAUAAAUAGCAGAUAAAAUAGACUUUAGGUCAAAAACUGUUACAAAAGAUAAAGAAAAACAUCUGUUUGGGUAGAGAUCAAUUUAACAAGACAUAAAAAUUACAAAUGUAUAUGCACCAAAAAAGAGCCCCAAAAUACAUGAAGCAAACCUUCACAGAAUUGAAAGGAGACUCAGUUCUACUAUAAUAGCUGGAUAUUUUAAUAGCCACUUUUAAUAGUAGAUAGAAGAAACAGAAGAUCGAAAAGAAAUAGCAAAUUUGAACAAUACUACAAAUCAAUUAUGCCUCACAAAUUCAGAACACUCGACAGCAGCUUUUUUGUUUUAUGUGCCUAAUGGCCAUUUCUAAUCUGUCCAAUCUGUGACCUAGUUUUUAAUCAUUUGUCUUUUUUAUAGUUCUAAGAGUUCCUUUAUAUAUUUUGGAUUCUGAACCCUUAUCAAAUACAUAAUUUGCAGAUAUUUUCUCCCAUCCUUUGGGGUUGUCAUUUUGCUUCCUUGGUGGUGCUAUUUAAAGCACAGAAGUUUUAGGCCUUUUGAGCCACGCUUCUCUUGCUCAGGCCCAUUUCCACAUCUGGAAGUGUACUUUCUAAUAAAACUUUUCUACUGUAAAAAAAAGUUUUAAAUUUUUAUGAAAUCAAUUUAUCAAUUUUAAAUCUUUUUGUAUUUGCAACACUUCUGUACAACUAAAAUUACUUCAAAAUUACAAACUUUGUAUAAAAAUGUAUGUAACAAGUUUAUAAGGCUACACUUCUACCAACAGGAAAUGGAAAUGAAAUUUUCAUUUGCUAUUCAACAUAA